rnacentral:rRNA from 1 species
UACGUAGGGUGCAAGCGUUGUCCGGAAUUAUUGGGCGUAAAGAGCUCGUAGGCGGUUGGGCAAGUCACGUGUGAAAUCUCCACGCUCAACGUGGAGGCGCCACGUGAGACUGCCCUGACUCGAGUCCGGUAGGGGAGCGUGGAAUUCCCGGUGUAGCGGUGAAAUGCGCAGAGAUCGGGAGGAACACCCGUAGCGAAGGCGGCGCUCUGGGCCGGUACUGACGCUGAGGCGCGAAAGCUAGGGGAGCAAACGGG